rnacentral:ncRNA from 1 species
CUAAAUGCGAUGAAGAAGAAUAGUAGCAGGCGUUGUUACUUACUAGAGAGCUGGUGGAGGGUGCAAACCAGUAGUACAUACUUGUGAAUGGACUUCGGAGCAGCCUUAUCCAAUGUAAGGCCGAUUCUCUCCCCGUUAUCGGAGUAAAAGUGCGCAAAACAUUGCGAAUUAAGGUGGCACCACGGUUACUCGUCCUUUGA